rnacentral:rRNA from 1 species
UACGUAGGGUGCAAGCGUUGUCCGGAAUUAUUGGGCGUAAAGGGCUCGUAGGCGGUUUGUCGCGUCUGCUGUGAAAACUCGGGGCUUAACUCCGGGCCUGCAGUGGGUACGGGCAGACUAGAGUGCGGUAGGGGAGACUGGAAUUCCUGGUGUAGCGGUGAAAUGCGCAGAUAUCAGGAGGAACACCGGUGGCGAAGGCGGGUCUCUGGGCCGUAACUGACGCUGAGGAGCGAAAGCGUGGGGAGCGAACAGG